UACGUAGGGCGCGAGCGUUGUCCGGAAUCAUUGGGCGUAAAGAGCUCGUAGGCGGCCUGUCGCGUCUGCUGUGAAAUCCCGGGGCUUAACCCCGGGCGUGCAGUGGAUACGGGCUGGCUGGAGGCAGGCAGGGGAGAACGGAAUUCCCGGUGUAGCGGUGAAAUGCGCAGAUAUCGGGAGGAACACCGGUGGCGAAGGCGGUUCUCUGGGCCUGUACUGACGCUGAGGAGCGAAAGCGUGGGUAGCAAACAGG
rnacentral:rRNA from 1 species